CCUUUCCCCUCGCCCCGCCUCCUCUCCCACGCGCUCUGCCUUGGAACUUCCAGUCCACGCCCAGGAAGCCACCCGCCAGCUGCAUACUAUCACCUCCCAAACCUGUCCCUGUCCAGGCCGACAUGUCAGUGCCCAGACUCAGCAGGGCCAAGACCAGCCCCAUCGUCUCCCUCUCCACCCACAGGCUUGUCCAGGCACCUGGACCACACCGCCAUGAUCCCCCAUCGAAUGAGUCACCAGGGUUUGUUCUAGCAGCGCCCACAUGAGCGGCCGUCCUCCGCAUUCACACUCCGCCCCAGCUCCAGAGCUCGUUUGCUCUCCUGGGACCUCACAGAAGCCUCCCGGUGGCCUUGCCUCCCGCCCUCCGCCCUCUGCCCCCUGCACGGCCCCAUGGAGGUUUCCUGGAAAGUCAGGUCUGGGCACCUCAGUCCCGGCCCGGGGUCUCCCCCAGCCCCGCACGGUGAGCACGAUGCUGUUCCCACGCCGAAGCGGCCUGUCUCGGUGAGCAGCUGCUCCGCCCAAGCGCGUUUUGGAGAGAAUUCUGGUUUGUGUCUAACUACAGUAAUUACAUUCAUAUUGUUACAGAUAUUUGUCACAUAUUGUGUGAAUCACACGGAUUCUUCCAAACAGAGCAGCCGACAUAGUUCACCUGCGAUGGCCCAGGGCCACCACCGUGGGUCCCCACGAUGGGCUGUGUUGUAACAGAGUGGGGUCCGUGGAGUUCCUCAGGCUCCCAGGCUGUUCACCUCUCCACCGAGCCCCAGUCCCAUCAGAGCUGCUGCUUCCCCGUCCUCUGUUCUCACCGUCGGCCCGUUUAAACCCAAUGCCAUCUCCCGCAUUUCUGAUCUUCCGACCUUUGUGUCUGUGGAUAUAAACACGGCUGUGAGACCGGUGAUCCUCUUUUUGCACGUAAUUCUAAAUCGGUGGGCUCCAGUCUGAGGACUUCUCCUCUGAAUCAGAGUGCACGUGCUUCCUAACAGCCGUGCUGCUCUCCGAUUACUCUUCCCCUUGUGCGGUGAAUGUGAUGGUGUUCUCGGAGCAGCACGAUGGCUUACGAGCUUGGAUGAUGUGGUCUGCUCGAGGUUUGGUGAACUGACUUAGGCAUUCAGCCGUGUGUCCAUCAGACAACAAGAAAUAAAUGCAGAAACCCCAAUCCGUGGCCUUGUUGUUUCCCUCUUAACCCGUGUACUCUCUCUGGAAGUUCUCCUCAAAUGAACCCGAAGGCCAGUCCUCCGGGGAUGCAGGGGUCCCAACCCAGGCUCCGCGGUCCCCAUGCCCACCAGCACCGACAAAGUGUGCUGAUCCCGAUUCCUUGAGGGGUUGCCCCAAUCGCGAAGGAUACAGAAUGGGUCAGACGUUAGGGACUGCGUAAAGAAAUCAAACACCUCUCAUAGAGCCUGGGUGAGGACGGAGAAAACCAGCUCAGGGCUGGCAGAAAUUCCUGAGAACGUGACACUCAGCAUUGAGGCCACCAGGCUUGUCACUACGGACCUUGAUUGUUUUUCAAGGAGAAUUUGAGGAAGGAAGAGGAUCUUUCCGACAUUGUAAUAAUUGUAGAAAGAAGCCAAAGAACUACCGUGAUCGAGGGCAUUUUGUCUCAAAGCCCACGUGCUCUGAUGCGUGUGUGUGUGUCUGUAUAUCUGUAUCUUCCGUCUCCUAAGGUAAGCCCUUUAAAGGUUUGUAUCAUCUUAUAGCUCCUAACAUUGUGUUCUGAAUCUAAGACACUAACUAGAUUUUUAUUAACUGUUUCCCAGCGUAUCCAGGUGAUUUAAGUUCUACCUGAUAAAAGGAACCAUUGGAUAAGAAACAUCCUCUCGAUGGUGUUAUGUAUAUUUGGAAGCAUGUGGUAUUUGCCCAGGAAAGAAAGUGCACAUCUAAGGUGCUGGGGAAAGGCUGGGUCCCCUAGUGAGCCCUGCAGUUUUGCAUGUCCGGUGAAAUCUGGGUUCAGCCUGGACUCAGGAGGCAUCACACCACUUACUGAGUCACACACACACCCUUCUUGCGAUUCCUGUGUUUUCCCAAUCACCGUCUUCCCAAGCCAGAUUCUGUGAGUACUAACAGCUGAAACUCACACAGCAAUGUGUUCUGCCAUAAAGCCCAUCAACGGGGCUAGAAAAAUUACUUAACGUCAGAAGUCCCAGUGUAGGGCGGACCCUGGCGGGAUCUCCCGGGCUGCCCUCAGCACUAAAACAACGUGAAGCCCCUCCUCCAAAAGCAGCUGGGCUCGCCGCUCUCUCAUACAGCCGUCAGCGUCUUUUAAUUUUCUUCUCACCAGCCUCCAGUCCCCCCAGAUAAUGGCCGGAUUCUUCUUGAAGGGACAUUUCCGUUUGAUGGAUCAAAUAUAAAGAGAAUAUAAAUAAGGAGAUGUGGGUAAGAACACAACAGACGCCCGAACCCGACGAGCAGGAGACAUUCACGUUCCGCCUUUGAAACCUGCAGCCUGGCAAAGGCCUUGAGAGAGUCUGUCUCCCAAACAUACCCUCGUCUUUUGUGUUUCUUGAGCAUUGAUAGCGCAGGAGAAGGGCCCUCGCAGGGAACCUGGGACGUGCUGUGAGGGGACAGCCCGGUGCAGCAGAGCAAACGUGGGCUUCAGCGCCAGACAGAUCUGUUCCAAGACCGGCCUCACCGAGCCCCGGGGACCGAUGCAGGACACUGGCUGCUGUGUGGAGAAAAGUCUCUAAGGGCCGAGCAGGGAGGCGUCUGGAGGUCCCGCAGGCAGACACACGGGCGGUGAGAUCGCGGUGCCGGGACCACGUGGAGGCUGCGAGCAGAGGCUGCUUCUCCGUGUUUCCUGAAGGCCGAGCUGAUAGGAUUUGCUGACGGGUCGGUUCGGUGUGAAAGAGAAAGAAACGGUGCAGACGGGCCGGGAAAGUCGGCCCCUGGCCCUCACCGAGACAAGCCAUGGGGGCACGGGGCUGAGAAGGACACGAGUCCAGGGGAGAAGCAGUCUCAGGUGGAGAGACUUCCAAGGCAGCAGGGCGAACUGGAAAAUGUCCGACAGCUGGCUCUCUGCGGGGAGAGCCCUGAUUUGCACCGUUUGCUUAUUUCUGACGGGCAGACACUCCCACCACAGGUGAGGCCAAGCCAGCAACAAUAGUGAACGUGGCGCUGGCGACAGAUGUGCAGGACUGGCCCCGGAGAGCACCACGGCGGACGUGUGUGCCCGUGUGCUGCCACCAGGGAGCAUGUCACCCACACGGCCGUCACGUCUCCACAUGACGUGACGUUGGCCCAAGGGCUUGAGGGACCGAUGUGUUCCUCUUCGUUUCAUCGGUGCAAAUGCAGAACCUGCAAGAGUUCAAUCAGCAUUCCUUGAACAGAACCGAGCUUCAUUUUAAUGCUGUAUUCAACCACGUGAAGAGUAAUGCGCAUCUCGCCAUCA